AGCGUAGACGGAUGGACAAGUCUGAUGUGAAAGGCUGGGGCUCAACCCCGGGACUGCAUUGGAAACUGCCCGUCUUGAGUGCCGGAGAGGUAAGCGGAAUUCCUAGUGUAGCGGUGGAAUGCGUAGAUAUUAGGAGGAACACCAGUGGCGAAGGCGGCUUACUGGACGGUAACUGACGUUGAGGCUCGAAAGCGUGGGGAGCAAACA
rnacentral:rRNA from 1 species